CGACUACCUAGCGACAGAAGGAGGAAACACACCAGACCAGAACUAAAGCAGAUAGCGGUUAGAAACGCCCAGUAAGGGUGCCAGAAACCACUUUCAGAGGGAAGACAGCACUUGAAGGGAAAGAGGAUAAAGAAGAGGAAGGGAGGUUACAAUUGAGAGCACCGCAGAAGGAAGCGAUGCAGAUGUUCGGCUCUGGCGGACCGAAGGAGGAACCCCAUGCAUAGCACAGCUAUCAUGGAUGCUGAUGGGGCCCCAGAGCUCCCUUCGCCAGGCUGCCGUCAUCAGCCUAGAGCUGUCCCCAUCCCCAGAGAUUUGGCCUGAGUCAAAUAUGAGCACGCCCUGGGAGAGGAAACUGAGGCCUUGAGAGAAGAAGUGGCUUGUCCAUGAUCACAGAAUAUUGGAGGUAGAGCCAAGACAGAAAGCUCUGCUCCUUGUGGCUAGCUUAGAGCUGCUUCCACUUCCAAGCUAGCUCUCAGCAGGACUGUGUGGCACCAUAAGAAGACAUUCAUCACAACUCUCCUUCAGCACAGUUCUCUUUAUAGACUCCACAGACAGGCUGGGCACAGUGGCUCACGCUUGUAAUCCCAGCACUUUGGGAGGCUGAGGUGGGUGGAUCACUUGAGGUCAGGAGUUGGA